rnacentral:rRNA from 1 species
AGAACGAACGCUGGCGGCAUGCCUAAUACAUGCAAGUCGAACGAACUCUUCGGAGUUAGUGGCGCACGGGUGCGUAACGCGUGGGAAUCUGCCCCUUGGUUCGGAAUAACAGUUGGAAACGACUGCUAAUACCGGAUGAUGACGAAAGUCCAAAGAUUUAUCGCCAAGGGAUGAGCCCGCGUAGGAUUAGCUAGUUGGUGAGGUAAAGGCUCACCAAGGCAACGAUCCUUAGCUGGUCUGAGAGGAUGAUCAGCCACACUGGGACUGAGACACGGCCCAGACUCCUACGGGAGGCAGCAGUAGGGAAUAUUGGACAAUGGGCGAAAGCCUGAUCCAGCAAUGCCGCGUGAGUGAUGAAGGCCUUAGGGUUGUAAAGCUUCUUUACCCGAGAUGAUAAUGACAGUAUCGGAGAAUAAGCCCCGGCUAACUCCGUGCCAGCAGCCGC